rnacentral:rRNA from 1 species
UACGGAGGGCGCUAGCGUUGUUCGGAAUCACUGGGCGUAAAGCGCGUGCAGGCGGUUUAGCAAGUCGGCGGUGAAAGCCCGAGGCUCAACCUCGGAACUGCAGGUGAAACUGCCGGGCUCGAGUCCCGGAGAGGGUGGCGGAAUUUCUGGUGUAGAGGUGAAAUUCGUAGAUAUCGGAAGGAACACCAGAGGCGAAGGCGGCCUGCUGGACGGUGACUGACGCUGAGACGCGAAAGCGUGGGGAGCAAACAGG